CGAAAGCGUUUUAACAGCGCAAAACCCACUGUGAACAUACCUGUUUGUUGCUUCGGCAGGCGGCCCCAGGGCGGGGCCAGCAGCCUGUAUUUUUCAGGCGCCCUGCCAGGAGGCCACUUCAACUCUUUUGUAUACGUACUUUCUGAGCCUAAAAUAAAAUACGUUA
rnacentral:misc_RNA from 1 species